rnacentral:rRNA from 1 species
UUACGGGAGGCAGCAGUGGGGAAUCUUGCACAAUGGAGGAAACUCUGAUGCAGCGACGCCGCGUGAGCGAUGAAGCCCUUCGGGGUGUAAAGCUCUUUCGACGGGAACGAUAAUGACGGUACCCGAAGAAGAAGCUGCGGCUAACUACGUGCCAGCAGCCGCGGUAAUACGUAGGCAGCAAGCGUUGUUCGGAAUUACUGGGCGUAAAGAGUGUGUAGGCGGUGCUCCAAGUCUGGUGUGAAAUCUCCCGGCUUAACUGGGAGGGUGCAUUAGAAACUGGAAUGCUAGAGGAUGGGAGAGGUAAGCGGAAUUCCUGGUGUAGCGGUGAAAUGCGUAGAUAUCAGGAGGAACACCUGUGGUGUAGACAGCUUACUGGACCAUUUCUGACGCUGAGACACGAAAGCGUGGGUAGCAAACAGGAUUAGAUACCCGUGUAGUC